GUUUAAAAAAAAUGUAGCUUUGAAGCGGUUGAGAUUGUUGGAAUGUUGAAAGGU
rnacentral:tRNA from 1 species